AGAAGCAUUUACAGAAGUAAUGCUCAUUCUGGUUUGUAUCCGCUGAGGCUGUGGUGAUACAAGCUUAAUUGCUGGACAAAGAUAGCUCUGUCUUAAUAAUAUUUAUGCUAUUGUUGUCUUCUGGGUCUUAGAAGUGCUUUCCAGUGUCAGAUGAAGUUAGUAUUUCCUGUGACUGAAGUCAAUGAAACUAUUUGUGUGAGCAAGUACUGCUGAUUACGAGCAGUGACGGUAUGUUUUAGUGGUUAUGGCCAUAUUUUGACCAUAAGUACUCCGACAUCUCAGCAAGUGCCAGAUUUUCAGCACGGUGCCUUUGAUUCUCAAUCUUGUGGCCAGGUUUUUCACUGAGCUGAACACCCAAAAGGCACUCAGUGUGCUGUGCGCCGAGCGCUGUGCCGAAAAGGGAAGGGAGGCCUUGGGGAAAUCCGGCUGCGUGCAGUUGGCAGCCUCGCAGCGGCUGCUGAACAACCGGCUGACGGUGUUAUUCCUCCAGACUUCCAGCAGCAGAGCGAGGGGUCCUUUUUGGAGUUCACCAGGGAUGUUUGGCUAGAAACGCUUUUCCAUGGGUGCUUUCAAAUAUAUACCAAGCAGAGCUGCAGCGGCUGCUGAGGGUAAGCUGGACAUAGAUAGGAGAGGUGAGUGAAGUGCUUGACCCACGUGUUGGUGGUGACUAUUGGACUCCUGAUUUUCACUGCCUUGAAACUCAGGCUAUGUUCUUGUACCUAAUGGGACAAUGGCCAGGAAGGAUUAAGCUGCUUGGAUUUGGGACCAAAGGAUUUUUCUGAUUAUAGUUUGCUAUUUCAGUAUGAAGCCAAAGUGAUAGUAAAAUUGAGAAACUCAUAACAUAAAGUAUUGGCAGAAAAGUAGCAAUCAGUUUACAGUUACAUUUGUCAAAAAAUCUUGAUUAGAUGCUAUUUAAAGCAGUAACACAACUAAGAUUUAUAGCAUAGCAUAUUGCCCUUUUAUACACAAUAGAAGAUUACACAAAAUAUCAUGUCAAUGAAUGCACCUUCAAGUAAGGUAAUUAAUUCUAUGAUAAAUUAACAACUGAGAUAUUAGACAAUUUAAAAGUUAAAGCAUUACUUCCCCCUCUUCCUCCCUAAUAGAUGCCUAUGUUCCUGGCUACACGCAGUCUCCUCCCCACCUCCCAAAGGUAUCUUUUUUUUCUUUUUUUUUUUUUGGGGGGGGGGGGGAAUAAUUUAAUUUUUUAUAUUUAGUUUGAGCCCCUCAAAUUAAAAAAAAAAAAAAAAGAAAAAAAAAAGUACAGAAACUAUCUGAAACUACCUGAUUUUCUCUCUGAAGGAUUCUGCUUGUAGAUGGGUGCAGGCAUGUAUUGUUAUGACUUGACUGUUUCUGUUAGGCAUUCCAGUGAGUUUAGAGCAAUGGCAGAAAUGCUGUGGCCUUCUCUUUAAUACAGUGAUUCUGAAAAUAAUAAUAAUAAAAAAGUCUCUUUUACCUCUGUUUUCUUUCUC
rnacentral:lncRNA from 1 species